AGCUCCAAUAGCGUAUAUUUAAGUUGUUGCAGUUAAAAAGCUCGUAGUUGGAUUUCGGAUGGGCUUGACCGGUCCGCCGUUUGGUGUGCACUGGUCGUGCCUAUCUUGCUGCCGGGGACGCGCUCCUGGCCUUAAUUGGCUGGGACGCGGAGUCGGCGAUGUUACUUUGAAAAAUUAGAGUGUUCAAAGCAGGCCUAAGCUCUGAAUACAUUAGCAUGGAAUAACGCUAUAGGACUCUGGUCUUAUUGCGUUGGUCUUCGAGACCGGAGUAAUGAUUAAGAGGGACAGUUGGGGGCAUUCGUAUUUCAUU
rnacentral:rRNA from 1 species